rnacentral:rRNA from 1 species
UACGGGGGGGGGUAAGCGUUUGUUCGGAAUUACUGGGCGUAAAGCGCACGUAGGCGGCUUUGUAAGUUAGAGGUGAAAGCCCGGGGCUCAACCCCGGAAUUGCCUUUAAGACUGCAUCGCUAGAAUUGUGGAGAGGUAAGUGGAAUUCCGAGUGUAGAGGUGAAAUUCGUAGAUAUUAGGAAGAACACCAGUGGCGAAGGCGGCA